GUCUGUAUCGAACCCAUCCCAGGGUUCUAUCGCCAACCAAUCGGUGGGACACAUGAGGCGUCUUUCUAUGGCUCUACUGCAUCCGGACCAUGCACGGAUAAUUGCAUCAUUAGACCAAGCAGACAUCUCUAGAAGACAAUACAGAAUCCAUCAGUGCCAUAGGACCUCACCGUGCACAGCCAGUUCCAGCUCGACCUUCCUAUUGUCAGUCGUAGUUUCCAACGAAGGACUACAUCCACAAACUCAUCGUCGAUUAGGUUUGAAUGAAUCGAGCUUUGCUACAUCACUAAUGCCACCAGUAUGCUGAAGUUCGAUGAGGACAAAGGUGAUGCGGUUGUAAAUAACCAGGAACUUCACCCACACAUAUGACACUAAUGCGAUCUCCCGAAACCAACCACAAUAGUGAUGCACUACAUCUGCAAAAAGUAGUUUGGAACGGUCGCGUGAGCACGUCCGGAUCCCACAUUGUACACCAUCUGGUCCGAACGUAGCAUCGCAACGUUACCUUGCACAGCAAUCGGCCACUCGGAGAGACCGUGCUGAAGUACUAAUGUGCGACGUACUAAUAUUCAUCUUUGGUUUCAUGUUUGCCAACGCCAUGACGGUUGGUGUGCUGCUGUGAAGAUAACUAUGUGCAGAACUUGACGGGGCAAAAGAUAGUACAAAAAACGAUUUCCUACUAUGCAGAGUUUACAAUUUUCGCAUUCGUGAACAGAAUAAGGCGAUAUUUCACCUACUUUGACCAGCAAUAAAAAAGCAAACAUACGAUGUAACAUUGUUUGCUCUCCAACUUUUCUCGACAAGACAGCAUUGGAUCUCAUCUUUUCGCGCUUAAUGUAAAACUGCCGAAUAACUAAUGGUUUCGCAAAAAUUCACAAAAAUGAGUAGAUACAGAUCCUUAGAAUGAAAAUACUGCAAUAAUGUGGGGAAAUAAAUUCUAUAAUGCAAUAUAUUAAUGGUUUUUCUUGAACUUAAUUUAUCACGAGGUUCGAAGCUGCGAAAUUAUCACGCUUCCAUACUGCAUUCUCUGCAAAUUCUCGCAAUUUCUUGAAAGGUGAAAAG